GAUGAAGAACGUAGCGAAAUGCGAUAAGUAAUGUGAAUUGCAGAAUUCAGUGAAUCAUCGAAUCUUUGAACGCACAUUGCGCCCUCUGGUAUUCCGGGGGGCAUGCCUGUUCGAGCGUCAUUAUAACCACUCAAGCUCUCGCUUGGUAUUGGGGUUCGCGGUUUCGCGGCCCCUAAAAUCAGUGGCGGUGCCUGUCGGCUCUACGCGUAGUAAUACUCCUCGCGAUUGAGUCCGGUAGGUCUACUUGCCAGGAACCCCUAAUUUUUUUUAAGGUUGACCUCGGAUCAGGUAGGGAUACCCGCUGAACUUAAGCAUAUCAAUAAGCGGAGGA
rnacentral:misc_RNA from 1 species